UACAGGGGGUGCAAACGUUGCUCGGAAUCAUUGGGCGUAAAGCGCACGUAGGCGGUUCGUUAUGUCGGAUGUGAAAGCCCUUGGCUUAACCGAGGAAGUGCAUCCGAAACUGGCGAGCUAGAGUACGAAAGAGGAUCGCGGAAUUCCCGGUGUAGAGGUGAAAUUCGUAGAUAUCAGGAGGAACACCGGUGGCGAAGGCGGGUCUCUGGGCCGUAACUGACGCUGGAGGAGCGAAAGCAUGGGGAGCGAACAGG
rnacentral:rRNA from 1 species